GACGAACGCUGGCGGCGUGCUUAACACAUGCAAGUCGAGCGGUAAGGCCCUUUCGGGGGUACACGAGCGGCGAACGGGUGAGUAACACGUGGGUGACCUGCCCUCAGCUCUGGGAUAAGCCUGGGAAACCGGGUCUAAUACUGGACAUGACUCCAUGACGCAUGUUGUGGGGUGGAAAGCCUUGUGCGGCUGAGGAUGGGCCCGCGGCCUAUCAGCUUGUUGGUGGGGUGANGGCCUACCAAGGCGACGACGGGUAGCCGGCCUGAGAGGGCGACCGGCCACACUGGGACUGAGACACGGCCCAGACUCCUACGGGAGGCAGCAGUGGGGAAUCUUGCGCAAUGGGCGAAAGCCUGACGCAGCGACGCCGCGUGAGGGAUGACGG
rnacentral:rRNA from 1 species